rnacentral:rRNA from 1 species
AUUGAACGCUAGCGGCAUGCCUCACACAUGCAAGUCGAACGAGUGGCGGACGGGUUAGUAAUAUCUCGGAACCUGCCCGGUAGCGGGGGAUAACUACUCGAAACAGUGGCUAAUACCGCAUACCAUCGGAUCUGCCGAUAUCGGAUUCGCUUGUUGGUGGGGUAAAGGCUCACCAAGGCAACGAUCCCUAGCUGGUUUGAGAGGACGACCAGCCAGUGUGGGAAUGAGACAGGGCACAGAGUCCUAGGGGAGGCAGAAGUGGGGAAUGUUGAACGAUGGGUGCAAGCCGGAGAAAGCGAUGCGGCGUAUAUGAGAAGGCAUUCGGGUUGUAAAGUAAUGUUGGCCACGACGCGGUAACGGCAGAAUAAGCACCGGCUAACUACGUGCCAGCAGCCGCGGUAAUAC